CUUUUCUCUCUCUUCCUCUAUCUCCUGCCUUUGUCCCUUAUCCCUGCUCUCUGUCCCUCUGUGGCAAAUAAAUCUCCUUUGUGCUGAGAACUUGGUCUUGGGAGUCCUGAGCCAAUACUUUUCCUGUCAUUUAUAACUAGGAAAGGCUCAGCAGGUGUAGACUGUAAGAGAUGUGGCCCAGGUGGUAGAGAACUUGUGUCUCAAGAAACCAACCAACCACAAAUAAAUAAACAAGAGCAACAACAACCCCCCCCCAAACAACAACAAAAACCCCAAAAGUUUUAAGAGCUAUCUGAACAGGGAGAGAGCAUUGUAAUGUCUAAGGGGGGGACAGGGAGAAGAGGUGGGAGCAUCUUCCUAUGUGUGGGAAGGUAUCAGAGUGGACAUUUACUUUUCGUCUCCCUCUUUCUCUUUUAGUUCUUCUUUCCUUCUUUUGCAUCCUGUCUUCCUCCAGCUAAGGAACACCCUCAAUCACUCUGGCUUCUUUGUUCGUGGCUCAUGGUCCUAACUGGGUGGAGCUCCAGGUUGCUCUCCUUCCAAUUGGUGCAGUUCAGGCCUGUGGCUCCUGUGGUUGCCCUUCUUCCCAAUUGGUGCAGGAGGGGCAUAUGGCUCCAGAGUCACUCUUCCCAAUUGGUCGCAGGGGAUUUCAGUGCUUGGCUGUGGAUUUCUGCAUCUGUUUCCACCAGUUACUAGACGAAGGCUCUCUGAUGACAACAAUUAGGGUAGUUGCCAAUCUGAUUACAGGAGAUGGUCAGUUUAAGCAUCCUCUCCACUAUUUAGGGAAGUCUUAGCUGGGGUCGUCCUUGUGGUUUCCUAGGAAUCUCCCUGGCACCAGUUUUUUCCUUGAACUGAAAAUGCCCCCUGAACCCUUUUUUUUUUUUUUUUUAAUGUAUCUGCAUCAGACAUGGUGAUGUUGGGAUUAGAGAGGUGCACCACACAAGGAUUUCUCAUUCUUUUUUUAAAGGUAGGUUCUUGGUAUUCGGCUCGGGCUGGCCUCUAACUCACUUGGGAGAUCAAGCCUGCUGCUUCAUGCUCCCAGUGGCUGAGACUACUGGUGAAACCACGAAGACAGCUUUGAUAUCUUCUUCUUUACUUCCAUUUUACAUUCUUUGUUUUUUGUGAGGCGUGGUCUCUUGUAGUUACUAUGGCCUGGAACUCAAUUUGUUACCUCUGCCCACAUUUUUUUUUUUUGUUUUGCUUUUGCUUUUUCGUAUAGAGCUUCUUUGUGUAGCCCUGGCUGUCCUAGAACUCACUCUCUACGCCAGGUUGCCUUUGAACUCACAGAGCUGCAUAUGCCUCUGCUUCCUGUGUGCUUGGACUAAAGGUGUGUACUACCACCACAUAGCUGCUCAUGUUCUCUCUAGAUAUGUGACGUUAAAAUUGUAAGAACAGAAAAGUUAUUAUGGGUAACCAGCGAAGGGAAAGGUGGGGGAGGACCAGGUAAGUUCUUGUUAUGUAGCCUUGGCUGCUUAGUACUGAAAGACGUUUGAGAUAUUCUCAGCUCAGCACAUAGCCUUGAGGAUGUAAAAUGUGAAGUCAGGUUCAAAUCCAGUGAGUGAAGAUGGGCAGAUUGGGUGUUCGGCAAAGGGUCUUCCUGAUUUGGAGGUUUUGAUAUGUGUAAGUGGAGAACCAACAGGGGUGCAAAAUGAAGCUCCCAGCAUUGUAGGAGGGGAGGAAAGAAACAGAGGGAGGGAAGUGGGAGAGGUCAGUGAAUAAGAACAGAGUAAACUGUGUGUAUGUAUGAAAAGGCCAUAAUGAAAUUCAUCAGUCUGUGUGUUAACUUCAAAUGUUAAAGGAGGAUGUUCUAUUUGCAGUUGGGUUUGUGUGUGUGUGUGUGUGUGUGUGUGUGUGUGUGUGUGUGUGUGUGUGUGUGUGUAAUGUCAGUAGACAACGUGGGUCUUGAUGCUCAUGCCUCAUGAAGUCAGCAAGAAGAAAAUGGUUCCACUGGAACUGAAGGUGGAGAUGGUUACGAGGUAGAACCCAAAGAUCUGGAAAAAUCAAAAGUGCUCUUAACCAAUGAGCCAUUUCUUCAGCUUCGACAUCCAGAUUCCUUUACUAAACAUAAAUUAUGUGUUAAUUAUAGUUUGUGUGUGUGUGUGUGUGUGUGUGUGUGUGCACAGCACUAUAGCAAUAUUAAACACUAACUUAGACACAGACUCACACCCAAUUAAAAUUCUCUCCAUUCUUUUGGAACUCUAUCUGAGCCCAUAUUUCCACAUCAUUAAAUACAGAACUCACCCUUUCCUUUCCGACUCCAUUCAGAAAAGUCUUCUACCCUAUACAUGGAUCCCACCAGACAGCCCAUAUUUUUAAACAAGGUCUCAUUAAGAGCAUCCUGGUAUAAACAUUAAUUUUUUUUUAAGAGAAACAAUCAGACGAGGUGGUGUACACUUUUAACCUCAGCAAUUCAGAGGCUCUAGACUAGAAGUCAAGACUCAGAAUCAAGAUGGUGAGACAGGGCGUCCAUUCUUCAGGUAGAGGGCUUCGUGCCCGCCAGUUAUGUGAAGGAGAUGAACCAGAAUUAGGAGGAAGAUUGUGAUCAGUUCAUAGGGAACACCCUCAUCUCCUUAGCUUGCUGGGAGUCACCCCACUAUUUUAAGGAAACUGCACUGCACAUGAAGGUUGGGGGUCCACUGUGGGGACCUAAAAAAAGGGACCAGUAGACAGUGUUUCUCCUCUCAGCCGAUGGAUUGAUGUAAGACUCUUAAGUGAAUGACGUUAGGACAUAUCUGUCUGCCUGGUGAUGAGCUACGGGAAGUGCUAUCCAUAGCCAAUAUACAACUUUUCUGAAUCGACAGAGAUACAUAUCUUGUGGUUCCCAUGGGCCCUUUUUACUAAUAUUAGGUCUCUGAGUGUUGAUACAUUGUAAAUUAUGUCAGCUCCAACUUCUAGCAAAGGUUAAAUACAAGGGCAUUGUGUCUGAGGUGUCCCUCUCUUGGUAGUCACUUGGUUCCCAAAGAUACUUGUGUGUGUGGUAUCCUUGAUGAAUAUGUCUUCACAAUUAGUCAUGGUUUAGGGCAACGCCCACAUAACAAUCAUGACACAUCAAGUGCAGGACUUUCUGUCUCUAUUUCUAAGAACAAGAAACGUGAUGAAGGAAAAAAUAGUGUGAUACCAAGUUCUUAUAUUGCCACCUGAUUAGACAGACAAAGGGAAUAAGGGUAGUCUCGGGGACAGCAAGAGCAAAAUACAGACAGACAUUACAAUUGCAGGGUUAAAAUACACUUCUCGAGUUGGGUAGAUCCUAGAGGCCAAGAAAAUGAAAUCUGACCAAGUAAGGCAGGCUUUUGUUUGAAGGUUGCCGGCCACAGCCACAGGGUACGAGUUUGGAAAACUCAGGCCCCACAGCUCCCCGGUGUAAGUGCUGGCAAUCUCGGCACUCAGGAAGACCAGACUGAAGAGUCAAGAGUUCAAGGGCUACAUGGGCUGGAUGAGGCUGUUAGCGAAAGAAGCAUGAAAGGAAAGAAGAGGACAGUGGACCUGGACCCCCUCUCCCUUCGUUCUAGCUUUUAAUAACUUAUCAGCCAACUUUAGGAUCCAGCUGAAUAUCGUAGCCUGAAUAUACUGGUUUGCAAAUGCUGGACAACCAUUCAGACCUUCUUCGUAGGAGAGUGGACCUGCUGUGCUCACACUGGAUUGAAAAUUCUUUGCACACGCCCCUCUGAACAGCCCCAGCAGAAGGAUGUCAGAGAGGAAGAGGCUUGGAAGAAAGGAACUGAGUGACAGUAAUAUUCCAAGGUGUUCUCACGAGAGAGGGAGUUCUGGGGACUGAAUCCAUGCUUUUCCACCCCAAAGCCACGGCAUUCUGGGUGUGGCUUGAACCUAGGAAGCAGCUGAAGAGGUCAGUGACUGAGAGUGCCACCAGACUGUACUGCUCCAAGUUCCCAGAGUCGGAUUAUUCCUGUAUGGCUACUGUGUUGGAGAAAACACUCUUCAGUCCUUCCAGGAGUUCCACUUACAAGUUAAUAAUUGCCUGGGUCCAAAUUAUGAUUCAGAAUGCACAGUUGUCUCUCUGACUCCACAAAACACCUGUUUCCUCAUCUCAUAUUUUAUCAACUCUGUCCCUGUAAUCAGAACUCACUUCAUAACCAGUUCCAGAACAACCUCCCCCCUCCAUAAACAAACUAAAUAAAAUAAAUACCUAUCAACAAAAGAAUACACACAGAGAGAACUGAAACAGUAAACUAGUUUCUAGCUUUUCAGACACCUACGCCCAGAGAUUAUUUAAUGUCUGAAGUCUGUGGAACACCUGUUGGACCAUGGAGCCCAUGAAGGUAGAUCUCAUUAAAAGCAAUUAACUCAGUAAAAGGGCCAGGCAUCCGUUCUCUCAGGUGGUAGUUUGCAGCUUCUUGGAAUGACUUAGACUAUCCUUUGUAGAAAGCCUUGUGCUACAAUAGUAAUAGAAACAAUUUAAGGAACUGGUCAACGUUUAAACAGGUAAAGGAAAAGGUGUCCCUCUGGGAACCACAUGGUAGAAAGAAAAGAGUACAGAGAUCUGCCUACCUCUGCCUGCCUAGGGCGGGGAUACCAUACCUGGAUGACAUACAUAUCUGCAAUGAGCUUUUACAAAGGUCUAAUACUAAUUUUGCCCUUAUCCCUCAAGAUUAUCAGAAAAAUUAAAUAGACAAACAGUAUUCUGAAACUUAAUUUACUUAAACUAAAUCAGCUCAGCCAGCAAGAUGGUUCCUGAUAAAGAUGCCUGCUGCCCUGCAGAAAGACCUGAGUUAAACUUUUAGAACCAAUACAGUUGGUGGAAGGAAAGAGAGAGUCAGCUCACACAAGUUGUCUCCUUGCCUACACAUACAAAUUAAAUGUGUAGUAAACCAAGUUGACUGUCUUAUGUUGGGCAAAAGUCUUCCACUAGUCUUAAUGGCCUCUAGAGCCACUCCUGUACGAAUACCAAAACUGGUCAAUUCUAGUAGCUCAGGCCUUUAAUCCCAUCACAUGUGGGACAGAAACAGCUGGAUCUCAGUGAGUUUGAGGCCAUCCUGGUCUUGGUAGUUAUUUCAGGCCAGCUGGGGGUGAAGCAAAUAUCUAAGUGGAUUCCUCUUGUAGACCCGUGACUUUGAUGAUGAACUCAGUGUCUCCCUUACUGACACUAAUAUGAUCAGCUUCAAGGCUUUGGUACACUCAUCAGGAACAAAUUUCAACCAUAACAACCUACCAACAAAUGUGAGACAAUCUGCGACAUAGAGCCUGAAUCAAACAUUUCUUUACUUCUUUGAGGCAGAGGAGCCAACCCAGGGCUUUGAAUAUAAUGAGUCUGUUCAUCACCACUCAGCUGUAUCCAAAGUUACUUUUCUCAAGCCACCUCAUAUACUACUAUGCCAGCUGAUAUACAAUGGGCAAUAUAUAUCAGUAAUCCUUCCCCUAGAUUCAGGCCACAUCAUUCAGUAGACACUUCCCUAAGAUGCUCAAACAAGACUCCAUCUGAAAAUGGCAAUGGACUCCCUAAUACUGAAGUAGAGACAGUAGAGAGCUUGGAACUGAAACACUGCCAUCAGAAAGAACAUGUGCUCUUAACCACAAGGCCAUCUUUCCACCUCGCAAAUUCAGAGUGUUUUAAUUAAACAAAAUUAGGUUUUGCUUAUUAUUUGGGGGUAUGCAUGUAUGUGAACAUGCCAUAGGAAACGGAGGUCUGCAGACAACUUUAAAGAAUUAGUCUUCUAUCCUGGUAGUGGUGGCCUAUGCCUUUAAUCCCAGAACUCAGGAAGCAGAGGCAGGAGGAUCUCUAAAUUCAAGGCCAGCCUGUUCUACAGAGUGAGUUCCAGGACUGCCAGAGAUAUACAGAGAAACCCUGUAUGGGAAAUCUAAAACAAAUAACAACAAAAAAGAAUUAGUCUUCUUGUUCUUCACAAAAGUCAGGUCCUGGUCCUGAUGCAGACAGCAAAUUUAUUUGCUGAGUCAUCUCAAACAUACUCCAUGUCUUUUUUGUUUGAAUCGUCAUACCCAUCUGUGAGAUGCAUGUUGGUCAUUCCAGGAAACUCAGAUAAUGAGACCUUAAACUUUACUGCACAUGAAGUUUGAGAGUCUCCUGUAUGAACCUGACAUGAGGAACCAGGUGACCGUGGCUCCUUUUCUCUGCAGAUGGAUUGAUGUAGGACUGACUGAAUAGGAUUAGGAAAUAUUUCUAUACUGGGUGUUGAACUAUGGAAGGUUCUCUUCUUAGACAACCUAAAUAAGUUCUGGAUGUAUGGAGAGAUAUAUAUUUUGUCGUCCAGCCAUGUCCUCAAUUCAGUCAGAGUGUUCCCCUUGCUCCACAUACUCACCAGCAUGAGCUGUCACUUGUGGUUUUUUAUUUUGGCCAUUCCAACAGGUAUAAGAUAGUUUGGACUAUCUUAUACCUGUUGGGAAUAUAAAAUUGUAAAGCCAUUUUGGAAUCAAUAUGGUGGCUUCUCAGAAAAAUGGAAAUUGAUCUAUCUCAAGACCUAGUUAUACUACUACUGGGCAUGUACCCAAAGAAUGCUCCAUCCUACCACAAGGACAUUUGCUCAACAAUGUUCAUAGCAUUUUUAUUUGUAAUAGCCCGAAACUGGAAACAACCUAGAUGUGCCUCAACUGAAGAAUGAAUAAAGAAAAUGUGGUACAUUUACACAAUAGAGUAUUACUCAGCUGUUAAAAACAAAUGGAUGAAACUAGAUAAGAUCAUCCUGAGUGAGGUAACUCAGACCCAGAAAGACAAACAUGGUAUAUAACCAUGCUACAAUAUAGACCCAGAGAAACUAAAUAACAAGGAAGGAUCAAGGGGUGAUGCAUGGAUCUCACUGUGAAGAAGAAAUAGAAAGGACAACACCAGUGAACAGGGUGAGGCAUC